UACGUAGGGCGCAAGCGUUGUCCGGAAUUAUUGGGCGUAAAGAGCUCGUAGGCGGUUUGUCGCGUCUGUCGUGAAAGCCCACGGCUUAACUGUGGGUCUGCGGUGGAUACGGGCAGACUAGAGGCAGGUAGGGGAGAAUGGAAUUCCCGGUGUGGCGGUGAAAUGCGUAGAUAUCGGGAGGAACACCGGUGGCGAAGGCGGUUCUCUGGGCCUGUACUGACGCUGAGGAGCGAAAGCGUGGGGAGCGAACAGG
rnacentral:rRNA from 1 species